rnacentral:lncRNA from 1 species
AAAUGGGGUUGAUUUCUUUUGUCUAGAUAUCUAAAUAACUAACAAGAAAUAAAAGGACUCUUCCAGUUAUAAACAAUGAUGUUUAAUCCACCUUCAGUGACUUUGAAUUAUGCUCUAUUUCCAUCAUGCAUCUAUUGAUUGCGUGUAAUAUAACUUGUGUAGGUUAGCAGAUGCUGCUGAUCCACUUUCAAGAAUCAUUCCUGUACCUAAAUCUCAAAUUGCUCCAUACAGAAUCGUGAUUAUCAUCCGAUUCAUAGUUCUGUGCCUUUUCUCAGAUGCUGCUGAGCCACUUUCAAGAAUCAUUCCUGUACCUAAAUCUCAAAUUGCUCCAUACAGAAUCGUGAUUAUCAUCCGAUUUAUAGUUCUGUGUCUUUUCUUCCACUAUAGAGUAACACAUCCAGUUGAGAG